rnacentral:rRNA from 1 species
UACGGAGGGUGCGAGCGUUGUCCGGAAUCAUUGGGCGUAAAGGGCGCGUAGGUGGCCCGGUCAGUUCGUGGUGAAAGCGCGGGGCUCAACCCUGCGUCGGCCAUGAAUACUGCCGCGGCUGGAGCACUGUAGAGGCAGGCGGAAUUCCCGGUGUAGUGGUGAAAUGCGUAGAGAUCCGGAAGAACACCGGUGGCGAAGGCGGCCCGCUGGGCAACUGCUGACACUGAGGCGCGACAGCGUGGGGAGCAAACAGG